rnacentral:rRNA from 1 species
GUUAGGAAUAUUGGACAAUGGGCGCAAGCCUGAUCCAGCCAUGCCGCGUGAGUGAUGAAGGCCUUCGGGUUGUAAAGCUCUUUAGCCGAUGAUUAUAAUGACUGUAGUCGGAAAAUAAGCCCCGGCUAACUUCGUGCCAGCAGCCGCGGUAAUACGAAGGGGACGAGCGUUAUUCGGAAUCACUGGGCGUAAAGCGUGCGUAGGCGGCUUUGCAAGUUGGGAGUGAAAGCCCAGGGCUCAACCCUGGAAUUGCUCUCAAAACUGCAAGGCUCGAAUUCGGGAGAGGAUAGCGGAAUUGUCAGUGUAGCAGUGAAAUGCGUAGAUAUUGACAGGAACACCAGUGGCGUAAGCGGCUAUCUGGACCGAUAUUGACGCUGAGGCACGAAAGCGUGGGGAUCAAACAGGAUUAGAAACCCGGGUAGUCC